AUUGAACGCUGGCGGCAGGCCUAACACAUGCAAGUCGAGCGGAUGAAGGGAGCUUGCUCCUGGAUUCAGCGGCGGACGGGUGAGUAAUGCCUAGGAAUCUGCCUGGUAGUGGGGGAUAACGUCCGGAAACGGGCGCUAAUACCGCAUACGUCCUGAGGGAGAAAGUGGGGGAUCUUCGGACCUCACGCUAUCAGAUGAGCCUAGGUCGGAUUAGCUAGUUGGUGGGGUAAAGGCCUACCAAGGCGACGAUCCGUAACUGGUCUGAGAGGAUGAUCAGUCACACUGGAACGGAAACACGGUCCAGACUCCUACGGGAGGCAGCAGUGGGGAAUAUUGGACAAUGGGCGAAAGCCUGAUCCAGCCAUGCCGCGUGUGUGAAGAAGGUCUUCGGAUUGUAAAGCACUUUAAGGUGGGAGGAAGGGCAGUAAGUUAAUACCUUGCUGUUUUGACGUUACCAACAGAAUAAGCACCGGCUAACUUCGUG
rnacentral:rRNA from 1 species